rnacentral:rRNA from 1 species
UGCCAGCAGCCGCGGUAAUACGGAGGAUCCAAGCGUUAUCCGGAAUCAUUGGGUUUAAAGGGUCCGUAGGCGGUUUAAUAAGUCAGUGGUGAAAGCCCAUCGCUCAACGGUGGAACGGCCAUUGAUACUGUUAAACUUGAAUUAUUAGGAAGUAACUAGAAUAUGUAGUGUAGCGGUGAAAUGCUUAGAGAUUACAUGGAAUACCAAUUGCGAAGGCAGGUUACUACUAAUGGAUUGACGCUGAUGGACGAAAGCGUGGGUAGCGAACAGGAUUAGAUACCCUGGUAGUCCACGCCGUAAACGAUGGAUACUAGCUGUUGGGGGCAACUUCAGUGGCUAAGCGAAAGUGAUAAGUAUCCCACCUGGGGAGUACGUUCGCAAGAAUGAAACUCAAAGGAAUUGACGG